GCACAAGCGGUGGAUGAUGUGGUUUAAUUCGAUACAACGCGAAAAACCUUACCCACCUUUGACAUGUACGGAACCCUUUAGAGAUAGAGGGGUGCUCGAAAGAGAGCCGUAACACAGGUGCUGCAUGGCUGUCGUCAGCUCGUGUCGUGAGAUGUUGGGUUAAGUCCCGCAACGAGCGCAACCCUUGUCAUUAGUUGCUACAUUCAGUUUGGGCACUCUAAUGAGACUGCCGGUGACAAGCCGGAGGAAGGUGGGGAUGACGUCAAGUCCUCAUGGCCCUUAUAGGUGGGGCUACACACGUCAUACAAUGGCUGGUACAAAGGGUUGCCAACCCGCGAGGGGGAGCCAAUCCCAUAAAGCCAGUCGUAGUCCGGAUCGUAGUCUGCAACUCGACUACGUGAAGUCGGAAUCGCUAGUAAUCGUGGAUCAGAAUGUCACGGUGAAUACGUUCCCGGGUCUU
rnacentral:rRNA from 1 species